AGCCAACUAAUCACGGUACGACAG
rnacentral:siRNA from 1 species